AAAAAAAAAAAAAAAAAAAGAGCAAAAUUAUGUUAAAAGCAACUGGAAGAUCAAGCAUGGAGGUGCUUGCAUUACAGGCUUACAGCACUUAUCAUGAAAGGCCCUUUGUUACACAUGCAAAUUUUAUAUAGCCCUUUGCCCCAGAUACACAUUGGCUAUCUACAUGAAGAAACAAGAACAUUGAAGAAGAAGGCCUACCCAGUCAUAGUAACUAGCUCCACAUUCAACUGCAUAAACUUCCUUGAUAAUUUCCUCCACAUUGCCGUAUUAUAAUACUUCCUAAUUACCUAAAUCCUGAAGGAGCUGCUCUCGGUCCAGCAGCUGCUGCUCUCAUGGCUUUUGAUUGAGCAAGCAAUGCAUCAUAAUC
rnacentral:misc_RNA from 1 species